GACGAACGCUGGCGGCGUGCCUAAUACAUGCAAGUAGAACGCUGAAACUUGGUGCUUGCACCGAGCGGAUGAGUUGCGAACGGGUGAGUAACGCGUAGGUAACCUGCCUGGUAGCGGGGGAUAACUAUUGGAAACGAUAGCUAAUACCGCAUAAGAGUAGAUGUUGCAUGACAUUUGCUUAAAAGGUGCAAUUGCACCACUACCAGAUGGACCUGCGUUGUAUUAGCUAGUUGGUGGGGUAACGGCUCACCAAGGCGACGAUACAUAGCCGACCUGAGAGGGUGAUCGGCCACACUGGGACUGAGACACGGCCCAGACUCCUACGGGAGGCAGCAGUAGGGAAUCUUCGGCAAUAGACGGAAGUCUGACCGAGCAACGCCGCGUGAGUGAAGAAGGGUUUCGGAUCGUAAAGCUCGGUUGUAAGAGAAGAACGAGUGUGAGAGUGGAAAGUUCACACUGUGACGGUAUCUUACCAGAAAGGGACGGCUAACUACGUG
rnacentral:rRNA from 1 species